rnacentral:rRNA from 1 species
AUGCUUGUCUCAAAGAUUAAUCCAUGCAUGUCUAAGUAUAAAUGGUAUACCUUAAAACUGCAAAUGGCUCAUUAAAACAGUUAUAGUUUAUUUGAUAAUCAAACGCUACAUGGAUAACCGUGGUAAUUCUAGAGCUAAUACAUGCUGAUAACCCGACGUAAGUCGCGGUUGUAUUUAUUAGAUAUUAAACCAAUAUGUUAAUAGCAUUUUGAAGGAAUUACAGUAACUGAUCGAAUCCUUGCUUGUCGAGGAUAAAUCAUUCAAGUUUCUGCCCUAUCAGCUUUCGAUGGUAGUGUAUUGGACUACCAUGGCGAUUACGGGUAACGGAGAAUUAGUGUUCGAUUCCGGAGAGGGAGCCUGAGAAACGGCUACCACAUCUAAGGAAGGCAGCAGGAGCGUAAAUUACCCAAUGUCGACUCGAUGAGCGUAGUGGCAAUACAUAACAAAGAGGGGAUUUUUUAUCUUACUCUAUUGCAAUGAGGCAUGUUUAAUAACCUGUUCGAGCAACCAGUGAAGGGCAAGUCUGGUGCCAGCAGCCGCGGUAAUUCCAGCUUCACGAGUGUAUAUUUAAGUUGUUGCAGUUAAAAAGCUCGUAGUUGAACUUCUGUUUGUUCAGGAGGCGUGCAAGCGCAGCCUGGGCGAACAUCCGCCUGAAAAAUCAUUCGGGUCUUCACUGAUUCAGUGAUGGAUCAGGCAUUUUACUUUGAAAAAAUUAGAGUGUUCAAAGCAGGCUUUCGCCUGAAUACAUUAGCAUGGAAUAAUAGAAUAGGACGCUGUUCAAUUUGUUGGUUAUUGAAUUGCGUAAUGAUUAAUAGGGACAGUUGGGGGCAUUUGUAUUUAAUUGUCAGAGGUGAAAUUCUUGGAUUUAUUAAAGACAAACUUAUGCGAAGGCAUUUGCCAAGGAUGUUUUCAUUAAUCAAGAACGAAAGUUAGAGGAUCAAAGACGAUCAGAUACCGUCCUAGUUUUAACUAUAAACUAUGCCGACUCGGUCUCAGUCAAGUCUUCCUAACUUGAUUGGUGCCGUAUGAGAAAUCAAAGUCUUUGGGUUCCGGGGGGAGUAUGGUCGCAAGGUUGAAACUUAAAGGAAUAGACGGAACAUCACUACCAGGUGUGGAUCCUGCGGCUUAAUUUGACCCAACACGGGGAAACUUACCAGCGCAAAACAAGGGUGGGAUUGACAGAUUGAGAGCUCUUUCUUGAUUCUUUGGAUAGUGGUGCAUGGCCGUUCUUAGUUGGUGGAGUGAUUUGUCUGCUUAAUUGCGUUAACGAACGAGACCUCAACCUACUUGCUAGACGC